AGGACGAACGCUGGCGGCGUGCUUAACACAUGCAAGUCGAGCGGUAAGGCCUUUCGGGGUACACGAGCGGCGAACGGGUGAGUAACACGUGGGUGAUCUGCCCUGCACUCCGGGAUAAGCCUGGGAAACUGGGUCUAAUACCGGAUAUGACCUGCUCUCGCAUGGGGGUGGGUGGAAAGAUUUUAUCGGUGCAGGAUGGGCCCGCGGCCUAUCAGCUUGUUGGUGGGGUAAUGGCCUACCAAGGCGACGACGGGUAGCCGACCUGAGAGGGUGACCGGCCACACUGGGACUGAGACACGGCCCAGACUCCUACGGGAGGCAGCAGUGGGAAUAUUGCACAAUGGGCGAAAGCCUGAUGCAGCGACGCCGCGUGAGGGAUGAAAGGCCUUCGGGUUGUAAACCGUCUUCAGCAGGACGAAGCGACAAGUGACGGUACCUGCAGAAGAAGCACCGGCUAACUACGUGCCAGCAGCCGC
rnacentral:rRNA from 1 species